CUUUAGAUCAGGAACUGGAGGAGGGCCCCCUAAAAGGGUGCAUUACACCCGUUACGAGGAGCUGCUGAUGCCAUAUAUACACCGGGAGAGCGUGCGCGGUGUCUACGGCACGUUCGAUACAGACCGGAAUGUUGGCCAAGAUUCAGCUCCACCUGGGCCAAGCAGGCGCAGACCAACGGCAUCUGCUCCCGUUCCAGGUCGUUGCUCCUUGUCAGUGCUGGCCUCCCCACGCAGCGAUCCUGAAAUAGAAGGAGAAGGAUUUAGUGGGGAGG